GAUGAACGCUGGCGGCGUGCUUAACACAUGCAAGUCGAACGGAAAGGCCUCUGCUUGCAGGGGUACUCGAGUGGCGAACGGGUGAGUAACACGUGGGCGAUCUGCCCUGCACUUCGGGAUAAGCCUGGGAAACUGGGCCUAAUACCGGAUAGGACAAUGGUUUGGAUGCUGUUGUGGAAAGUUUUUCGGUGUGGGAUGAGCUCGCGGCCUAUCAGCUUGUUGGUGGGGUAAUGGCCUACCAAGGCGUCGACGGGUAGCCGGCCUGAGAGGGUGUACGGCCAGAUUGGGACUGAGAUACGGCCCAGACUCCUAAGGGAGGCAGCAGUGGGGAAUAUUGCACAAUGGGCGCAAGCCUGAUGCAGCGACGCCGCGUGGGGGAUGACGGCCUUCGGGUUGUAAACUCCUUUCGCUAGGGACGAAGCGUUUUUGUGACGGUACCUGGAGAAGAAGCACCGGCUAACUACGUG
rnacentral:rRNA from 1 species